CGGGAUGUGGCGCAGCUUGGUCAGCGCACCGGUCUUGGGUACCGGGGGCCGUGGGUUCGAAUCCCGCCAUCCCGAC
rnacentral:tRNA from 1 species